rnacentral:tRNA from 1 species
AUAAAGUUAGUUUAAAUAUAAAAACGAUAAAUUGUGGUUUUAUAAAUGAAUUAGUAUUUACUUUAUA